CUGCUGUUUUAUUGCCCCAAUGUCCACAAUAGCUGGGCUAGGUCAGGCUGGAGCCAGGAACCCAGCACUCAAUCCAGGUCUUCAAUGUGGGUGACAGGGACCCAAGUACUUGAGCCAUCAUCUGCUGCCUCCUAGGGUAUGCAUUAGCAGGAAGCUGGAAUCAGGAACUGAUCUAGGACUUGGGCCCAGGUACUCUGAUACAAGAUGUGGGUGUCCCAAGUGGGAUCUUAACCUCUGAGCCAAAUGCCUACCCCCACCAGCAUCUGAACAACCUCCUAGGUCUUCUGCAUGGGCAGGCAAGGCUGAGCCACUGACCAGAUAGCCCUGUGUUCUAAUAAGAUAGGAUGCAUCUGGAACACCCUGGUUGCAGUUUUUUCCUGCAUAAGAUUAAAAUGUUCUCUGUCUCACAAGGUUAUGAGGAGACAAAGUGAGAUGACAGCUGUGAAAAAUUAUCCUAAGAAAACAGCAUUGUACAUAAAAAUGCAAGGCAUCAUCAUUCUUCAGUUCAUCCAGCCACAGACAAGACAAACUAUUUGGAAAAUGCUUCCAGAGGCUGAAAACACAUGAGAUAACAGGCUCAGGGAAGAAGAGCUGUAUUUGCUGCCAGCUUGGGCAUCCAUCAGAUAAAGAGCAGGAUUGGGCUCCACUUCAGUCUGUGAAGGUCUGCCCUGAAAGGAAUACUGCAGAGUCCUGAAUGUUGAAGUGAGGAGACACAAGACAGUGGCUUGAUACCAUGUGAAAAAAUAAAGAUCUCAGGAAAGGUGGUACAGCUCAGUGGGUGAGAAGUCACUCGGAAGCAGAAUAUGUUCACAAUCAUGUCUUACAAAUAUUGAUAAGCAGUUGUGAAAAAUAUCAAAGAUGGGAAGAUACUGAGCAAAAUCCUGAGAGACCAGAAAACAAAGGAAAAAACAAAAGGUUGAUCCACAUGAUUCUUUUCUAUGGCUAGUGUGGGGCUGGGACUGGACUGGGGUUGGGAGCAGGGAGCCCUAGGCUGCAGGUGCAAUCUGGUUAGAACUCGAGAGACAGCUGGGCUGACUUCCCUGCUGGAACUGAAACAAGAGGGCUGGGAUUAGAGGAUGGUUGUUAUAGGAAAGGUAGGGAUCCAUACCUCAGCCUCAAGGCAAGAGGGCAAGGGAUUGAAUUAGAAGCUCAAAACAGUUGUCAUAGGCCAGCUAAAGUAAUAAGUUUCAAGAAAUUGUUAGAACAGGCUCUAUAAGGAUGAGAAGUACUCUGUGCUGUCUCCCAGGAUCCCGUGUGUGUGUGUGUGUGUGUGUGUGUGUAUGGACACUUGGGCAGUGGUGAUCAUAACUGGGAGUCUAGCCAGCCUGGAAAACACCAGCCUGCGAAGACUCGACCUUCUUCAUGUCCAGGAGAUUUGGGAAAGAGCCAGGAGGUGGAAGAGUAAUGCAACUAGGCAAGAUGACUCCAAGGACUAAAGAGUUGCAGUUUGGAGGAAAAGCAGAGAUGUGAUUCUAAAAGCUUGGUCCAUCAAGCUGGUCUGGAGAUGAACCGCGUUAUCUCUAGUUACCUCCGUGUGUGCUGAUGUUUCUUCUCACAGUCAUUUUGCUUUCUCCCAUAAAGGACUCACCAUGUGUUAGAAGGGCCAUGUAAGAAGCACAUCAAAGAAAUUCAAAACAAAGCCCUAAGUAGGUGGUCUUUGAAAGUGAAAUUCUUUGUGUCUCCUCCAGCUCCCAAAUUCUGUAAUUCUCACAUUUUACAAUUCAUGAAACAAUGCCAAUAUUAAUUAUAUAUAUUUACAUAUGUAUAUAUAAAUCGCUGUCUUCUAAGGUCUCAAAUAGAGACAGAGUUGCAAGGUAUUAUAGAAACUGGUCCAAAAAAUAUGCGCAAGUGGAUUAGAGACUGAGCAAAAUCGAGCAAAAGGAUGGUUUGAAUAAUAACAUAUUGAUAACAGAUAAUACAAACUGUUUUGAUUAGGCUUCAGAAGAAUCUGAAUAGAAAUUCAUUGUUUGGAAUGUGUCUGCUUUGGUCUCAAUAAAAAUAUCCGGUUGCAGAGACAUUUCAUGUGGUUUGAACUAACAGGCAAGAAAUUAAAAAUUCAUUGGUCCAUGCUAAUUCAUGUAAUUGUAUAUUUUGGAGGUAAGUCUGAUGGCAUAGGUUUGCUGUAAUGGAACUGAUUGGAAAAUGAUCUCCUGGAGGAAAUUUAUUGCUGGUCAUGAGGUUUCUUUGGGUUAGAAAAAUGCUGGGUUUAGUGAAAUCUCCAGCACCAAAUGUAAGUCUGUUUUCAGAAAAAUGUGGAUCUGAGAAUUGUGGUUUUCAGUAAGAGGGCAUUUGAUCCAUUAAAAUUGUAUUGGCUUCUUUUGGCCUGCAAUGCAUCAGCUUGAAGCAUGAAGUCAGCACUUGCCAGCUACUGCCCCAAUAAUGAAAGGAAGAUCCUGAAUUGUUGCGAAGACAAGUCUUAGAAAUCCAUUGCGACUUGUUCCUCUGUGCCAUUCUCAUGAUGGAGACAAGAAGGGCUCCCUUAGCUUGUGUCGAAGAUGGCAAAGCAGUCCUUUUAUUGUGGCAGACUCCACUCAGCAUCACAUAGCUCAGGGAACAGAAAAAGCAAUCACUAUAGAACAACAUCACACAGCCUGCCUGAGCGGCCGGCACCUGUGUGUUUGGUACAGAUCCAAAGUCCCCGGUGUGGACUCUGCCACUGUCCUUGGAACAGGAUCCAAGAAUUGAACUCCUUGUUAGGAAAUUGUUCAUAAAAUUAGGAAACUCACAGUUAACAGAGAACUCAGACAGAACCACCCUCCCCCGCCCCGCCCCUUGCAGAGGGUAACGUACAUAUGGAUUGAGUUACUGAGAAGAGUGAUGGAGGCAAAGAGCACAGAUGAAUUCAAGAAACUCCCGGGUUUAUUUCUGGACACAGAAGGGGAAACCAGGAGGACAAGGUUAGCAGGAAGGUAGGGUGGAGACACCCUUUGGAAAGACAGACACAUAAAUAAUUUGGCUUAUUCUUCAAAUUUCUUCUUAAGUUUGUGGAACGGAGAAUGGGCUGCGUGGUUUCGUUUUGGGAGACAGCUCUGACCCUGAUUUUCUCUGGGUAGAUCAUUGCUAAUCCAGAGCAGACCAAAUCAACAGGACGAGAAGAGGGAGGGACCAGCACUUUUCAUGGGUUUACACCUAGAAACGCACAACUAGAGAGCCGAACUCUGAAGGCUUCUGAUUCUCCUAAAGGCUGUUCAUUGUGGUUAAAACAGGAAAGGCUGCUCAGCACCUGCCUUGUGGUGGGCAGGUUCCUUGGGAGAUCGUGGGGGAGCCUGUUGGGGCUGCAAUAAUGAGGUGCCUCGGGCUGGGGGAUUCAGGCAGCACACGUUUGUAUUCUCAUAGUCAUGGAGGUCGAGAGUCCAAGGUCAAGGUGUUGGCAAUGUUGGUAGACCCAUCUCUUUGAACUUGUCUCCUCUGUGUCCUCACAUGGCUGUGUGUAUGGUAAUAUCCUCUUGUCUUUUUUUUUUUAAGAUUUUAAAUAUUUAUUUGAGAGGCAGCACUUAGAGAGAGGGAGAGAUGGAGAGAAAGGUCUUCCAUUCACAUAUUCACUCACCAAAUGGCCGCAACAGCUGUGGCUGGGCCGAUCCAAAGCCAGGAGCCAGGAGCUUCUUCCAGGUCUCCCACAUGGGUGCAGGGGCCCAAGCACUUGAGUCAUCUUCUAUUGCUUUCCCAGGCCAUAGCAGGGAACUGGAUCCAAAGAGGAGCAGCUGGGAUUCGAACUGGCGCCCAUAUGGGAUACCAGCACUGCAGGCGAAGCUUAGCUCACUGUGCCACAUUGCUGACCCUUAAUCUCGUCUCCUAACAGGAUCCUGGUCCCAUUGGAUUACGGGUCACCCACAUGAUCUCAUUUUACCUUAAUCAUCUCUUUAAAGGCUCUGUCUCUAAGCACAAAGAGACUUCAAAAAGUCUGUGGAAAACAGAAUUAAAAAUGUUUAAUUUUUAAAAUACAAAACUUUAUUUUUGGUAUUUAUUUUUUUUAAAAAUUAUUUAUUUAUUUGAAAGGCAGAGUUACAGA